rnacentral:rRNA from 1 species
UAAACGACUCUCGGCAACGGAUAUCUCGGCUCACGCAUCGAUGAAGAACGUAGCAAAAUGCGAUACUUGGUGUGAAUUGCAGAAUCCCGUGAACCAUCGAGUUUUUGAACGCAAGUUGCGCCCAAAGCCAUUCGGUUGAGGGCACGUCUGCCUGGGCGUCACGC